rnacentral:rRNA from 1 species
CAGUGGGGAAUCUUGCACAAUGGAGGAAACUCUGAUGCAGCGAUGCCGCGUGAGUGAAGAAGGCCUUUGGGUUGUAAAGCUCUUUUGUAGGGGAAGAUAAUGACUGUACCCUAAGAAUAAGGUCCGGCUAACUUCGUGCCAGCAGCCGCGGUAAUACGAAGGGACCUAGCGUAGUUCGGAAUUACUGGGCGUAAAGCGCGCGUAGGCCGUUGAGUUAGUUAAUUGUGAAAUCCCAAAGCUUAACUUUGGAACUGCAAUUAAAACUGCUCGACUAGAGUUUGAUAGAGGAAAGCGGAAUACAUAGUGUAGAGGUGAAAUUCGUAGAUAUUAUGUAGAACACCAGUUGCGAAGGCGGCUUUCUGGAUCAACACUGACGCUGAGGCGCGAAAGUAUGGGUAGCAAA